rnacentral:rRNA from 1 species
AGCGGAGGAAAAGAAACCAACAGGGAUUGCCCUAGUAACGGCGAGUGAAGCGGCAACAGCUCAAAUUUGAAAUCUGGCCCUAGGCCCGAGUUGUAAUUUGUAGAGGAUGCUUUUGGUGACGUGCUUACCGAGUCCCCUGGAAUGGGGCGCCACAGAGGGUGAGAGCCCCGUAUGGUUUGCUGCCGAACCUCUGUAAAGCUCCUUCGACGAGUCGAGUAGUUUGGGAAUGCUGCUCUAAAUGGGAGGUAAAUUUCUUCUAAAGCUAAAUACCGGCCAGAGACCGAUAGCGCACAAGUAGAGUGAUCGAAAGAUGAAAAGCACUUUGAAAAGAGGGUUAAAUAGCACGUGAAAUUGUUGAAAGGGAAGCGCUUGUGACCAGACUUGCGCCGGGCGGAUCAUCCAGCGUUCUCGCUGGUGCACUCUGCCCGGUUCAGGCCAGCAUCGGUUUUCGCCGGGGGACAAAAGCUUCGGGAACGUGGCUCCUUUCGGGGAGUGUUAUAGCCCGUUGCCUAAUACCCCGGCGGGGACCGAGGACCGCGCUUCGGCAAGGAUGCUGGCGUAAUGGUCAUCAGCGACCCGUCUUGAAACACGGACCGAGGAGUCAAGCAUUAGUGCGAGUGUAUGGGUGUAAAACCCGCACGCGUAAUGAAAGUGAACGUAGGUGAGAGCUUCGGCGCAUCAUCGACCGAUCCUGAUGUUUUCGGAUGGAUUUGAGUAGGAGCAUUAACGCUUGGACCCGAAAGAUGGUGAACUAUACUUGAAUAGGGUGAAGCCAGAGGAAACUCUGGUGGAGGCUCGCAGCGGUUCUGACGUGCAAAUCGAUCGUCAAAUUUGAGUAUAGGGGCGAAAGACUAAUCGAACCAUCUAGUAGCUGGU